GGUGCCAGCAGUUGCGGUUAGACAAAUAAUAUAAUUUAAUUAUUUUAGUAUUAAUUAUUUUAAAUAUUUAUAAAAUUUAAAUUUUGAAAAAUUAAGUGAAAUUUUUUUUUAAAAUUAUUUUUUUUUUAGUUUAAGAAGUUAUAAAAUUUAAGUUAAAAACUAGGAUUAGAUACCCUAUUAUUUUAAAUUUAAAUAAUUAACUAGACUAGUAUUAGUUUAUGGCCUUGAAAAUUAAAGAUUUUGGCGGUAUUUUAGUCUUUUCAGAGGAACCUGUUCCAUAAUUGAUAGUCCACGAAUAAAAUUACUUAUUUUAAUAAAUUUGUAUAUCGUCGUUUAGAAUAUUUUAAAAGAAUUUAAUAUUCAAAAUUUAAAAUUAUUAAAUAAAUCAGAUCAAGGUGCAGUUUAUAAAUAAGUGAAAAUGGGUUACAUUUAUUAUUAUUUUUGAAUUUAAAUUUUAAAAAUUUAAUGAAAUUGGAUUUGAAAGUAAUUUUUAUUUAUUUAUAAAAUGAUUUUAGCUCUAAAAUAUGUACAUAUCGCCCGUCGCUUUCAUAUAAAAUGAAAUAAGUCGUAACAAAGUAGGCCUACUGGAAAGUGGGCCUAGAA
rnacentral:rRNA from 1 species